AAUUGGAUCGAUACAGAGAAGAUUAGCAUGGCCCCUGCGAAAGGAUGACACGCAAAUCCGUGAAGCGCUCUUUAUUUUC
rnacentral:snRNA from 8 species